AGAUAAUUUGUAUUGUUUUCUCUGUUUGAUGGUAGGCCAACUGUGCUGAUGUUAUUCUUGUUACAGCCUAGAAGAGUGGCUGAGAAUCUUCCAGGAUUUUUAUAGCUUGAAUCUAAACCUUAGCCAACUCCAUAGAACACAGGCAGAGUAGUGAUAUCGCAGUCAGUGAGCAUUGCCGGAGAACUUCAACUUCCUGGAUGUGGUGAAGAAAAAGCAUGUCUCCAGAUAUUUUCACCCUGAGAAGGUGACUCGUGGUCCUACAGCAGCAGAAGUGGCAAGAAAGGCCCCAGCAUUUCCCAGGAGAAGCGGGUUGGACCCACUGAGCAAGUCCCACUGUAGGGUAUGUUGGGAUGCUGCCUGGAAAUGUGAACCAUGAAAAAGCUGUCCUUGGUGGCCAAGUCGUGUCCUGCAUACAAACAGUGGCACUCAGACCCUCUGUUUGGUGCUAAUUUGCAUUACAGAGGAAGCUGCGUCAUUCAGGGUGGAAAGAAAAAGCAAAUCAGCUCUUUUUAAUGCUGGUGAACCACCAACGAGCUGCCCACCUUUUAUUUACUGUAAGGCUGGAGUUCUAUGUGGCAGCACAAUUGUGUAUCUCUGCACAAUUACAGCACUGCCUCUCCUCACUGCAGACAAAGAAGGGAAGGCAUUCACUUGCUCCUGCCUGAAAGCUGCCUUCAGCUAUUCGUGAAACCAUAGAUACAUCUGCUUGGACCGUCCAAUCCCCGGUGCUUCCCCCGGAGGGGGAAUAUCCAGACAUUGUCAUUUCAGCACAAGAAGCUGGAUGCAUUUAUUAAUCAACCUUUUUGCUGAGUGGAAGUCUGGCUGCUCUCUCCUACCAUAGUCUAAAUCCCUCAGUCUGCUUCUAUUACAAGACUUACAUAAAAGAACAUUUUCUUCCACUCUUUCUUACAGAAAUGGGAAGACCUGAAUGCUUUUCUUUUUCUCUUCCCUGGGUCUUCUUUUGACUGACUGGGAUUUUUCACGGCUGUAUCAGAAAGUUGGACAUCCCCCUUUGUUUCGGAAGCAUUUGGUGAUGGAUCACAUUUUAAUUGGCGUUGAGGUUUACAGAAAAAGGGAGCACCACAGGAAGUUAUUAGAAUAACAACACUACGCAUCUGCACAGGAAUUAAAACUGCAAAUGUAGGGGGCAUAUUAAUUGCUACCAAAUGCUUUGUUUUUCUCCUCCUCGAAAAGCCCAGCUCAACAAAAGCCUUAUUAUUAUUAUUAUUAUUAGUGUGUAUUUUUCCUGUCUUUCUGUCCCAGUAAAAUGUAAGUGAUUAGAUUUGUGGGAUUUUAGCCUCAUGUAUAAGAUUUCCUAUAUAGCAUGGUUCAUUUACAAAGGAGAUGAACACAUUUGUUCUGACAAGGAGGAUACUGAUGGCUGCAGACAGAUACAGCUCAUCCAACACUGUUGUUCCCACAGUGAGAGUCUGAGCAUGGCCUGUGCUAGUUUGUGCCAAAGAUGGUCAAAAUGUUUUGCCUGUGCUCUUUGAUUUUUCCCCAUGAAAUCACUGAUAUGUUGUCACAGAGCCAUAAUUCAAGUUGCUGUUGAAAUGAGAAGUAAUACAGAGAUUGUUAGGAGUUUAAGUUGUUAUUCCCUACACGACAAUUUUUUGUUUUUAAAUAAGGGGUAGGAAACAAAGCAAAUAUUGCCCAUAGAUCUCCAUAAACAAUUUCAGCCGAUUGAAACACUGUUUUUUUUUUUUUUUUUUUUUUUCCUGUUCAAGAAAGGAGAAUGUUGGAAAGAUUUUGCACAGCUAACUGCACAGAUUUCCUUCUUUUUAUUUUUUAAGUCAUUCUAACACAUGACUCUUUUCCACAUUGAUCAUACUUUGUAAAUUCCCCCUAAUGCUAUUUUCUAACCACAGUACUCCUUCACCAAUAACUGUAAAAGGACAUCCCUAGAACAAUGGAUAGCUUUUCUAGCACCUAUCCUAAUACCUAUUCUAAUAGGAAAAAAACAAGCAUUAAAGAAGUGUUAGGUUUGUGGGUAAUGUCU
ensembl:lncRNA